UAGCCGUAAACGAUACUCGCUAGGUGUCGGCCACGGUGCGACCGUUGUCGGUGCCGUAGGGAAGCCGUGAAGCGAGCCACCUGGGAAGUACGGCUGCAAGGCUGAAACUUAAAGGAAUUGGCGGGGGAGCACAACAACGGGUGGAGCUUGCGGUUUAAUUGGAUUCAACGCCGGAAAUCUUACCGGGACCGACAGCAACAUGAAGGCCAAGCUGAAGACUUUGCCGGAUUAGCUGAGAGGAGGUGCAUGGCGUGUGACUGU
rnacentral:rRNA from 1 species